rnacentral:rRNA from 1 species
AUUGAACGCUGGCGGCAGGCCUAACACAUGCAAGUCGAACGGUAACAGGAAACAGCUUGCUGUUUCGCUGACGAGUGGCGGACGGGUGAGUAAUGUCUGGGAAACUGCCUGAUGGAGGGGGAUAACUACUGGAAACGGUAGCUAAUACCGCAUAACGUCGCAAGACCAAAGAGGGGGACCCUCGGGCCUCUUGCCAUCGGAUGUGCCCAGAUGGGUUUAGCUUGUUGGUGGGGUAACGGCUCACCAAGGCGACGAUCCCUAGCUGGUCUGAGAGGAUGACGAGCCAAACUGGAACAGAGACACGGUCCAGACUCCGACGGGAGGCAGCAGUGGGGAAUAUUGGACAAGGGGCGAAAGCUUGAUACAGCCAGGCCGCGGGGGGGAAGAAGGCCUGCGGGUUGUAAAGAACUUUCGGCGGGAAAGAAAAGAAGAAGGUUAAUACCCUGGGGUUCUGACGUUACCCAAAGAAAAAGAACCGGCUAACUCCGUG